rnacentral:rRNA from 1 species
GACGAACGCUGGCGGCGUGCUUAACACAUGCAAGUCGAACGGGAGUAUUGAAGAAGCUUGCUUUAGAGAUACUUUAGUGGCGGACGGGUGAGUAACGCGUGAGGAGCUGUCCGAUGCAGGGGGACAACAGUUGGAAACGACUGCUAAUACCCCAUAAGCCGAGAGGUAAAAGGAUUUAUCCGGCAGAGGAGGUACUCGCGUCCUAUCAGCUAGUAGGUGAGGUAACGGCUCACCUAGGCGAAGACGGGUAGCCGGCCUGAGAGGGCGAACGGCCACACUGGAACUGAGAUACGGUCCAGACUCCUACGGGAGGCAGCAGUGGGGAAUAUUGGGCAAUGGGGGGAACCCUGACCCAGCGACGCCGCGUGGGUGAAGAAAUCCUUCGGGAUGUAAAGCCCUGUUGUAUGGGAAGAGCAGAAGACGGUACCAUACGAGGAAGCCCCGGCAAACUACGUGCCAGCCGCCGCCGUAA